GAAUUGCUUGUACUUUAGUUGAUUACUUUACUGACUGAUUGAUACAUUGCUUGAUCUGUUUAAUGUCUAAUAAGCUGUUGUUUAUUUUAUAGGGUGUUCAUUUCCUUAGGACUCAAUUGAGGACUAUUGCUAACAAGCUUUGUUGACAUCCACAAUUAAAAGGUAGUACUUAUUGCCUCUUCUUCUUUUUUCAUAGAAAUGACUUAUAAUAUAAGCAAUUAUAUGAUAAACGCGGAGUUUGUAGGCUACCAUGUAAUUUUCGUCCAAUUCAAUACACUUUGACUUUGACCUUACUUGUUUGUAUUCAUAUUUGCUUAAUAUUGUGUUUAUGUUUUUCUUUAUUCCAGAUGGCUAGUAACGAGGAUCACCCACAUGGUGAUGAGACCGUUGGUGCUGCGGAAAGGGAAAUUAAACGUGGAAUAACGGUUAUGAAGAAAGUUAUUCGAGAUAGAGAUCGAGGCGUUUUAAUAAAAGUGCAUUGGAACGAAGGUGGACAACUAAUUGAGCCUAACGGUUCAACAUUGACAAGUUUUAUUGGUGCAUUGGUAAGGAAUGAAGUUC
rnacentral:lncRNA from 1 species